ACACCUCAACUCCUCAUGGUUUGUGCCAUGAUGAGCUUGGACCUUGGGGGUAUUGCUGGCCCUGUGGUUGGCUCCUCUCAAAUUGAUCAGCUUGCCAGUGUUUGGUGGCAUCACAGGUGUGAUAAAUAUCUACGCUUGUGGCUUUCCACCAUGUAACCUUCGGUGAUGAAGGUGCGCUGGAGCUCACAAAUGUCCCUCCUCAGUGAGGACAGCUUUUGAAC
rnacentral:misc_RNA from 2 species